UACGUAGGCAGCGAGCGUUGUUCGGAGUUACUGGGCGUAAAGGGUGUGUAGGCGGUUGUUUAAGUUUGGUGUGAAAUCUCCCGGCUCAACUGGGAGGGUGCGCCGAAUACUGAAUGACUUGGAGUGCGGGAGAGGAAAGUGGAAUUCCUGGUGUAGCGGUGAAAUGCGUAGAUAUCAGGAGGAACACCGGUGGUGUAGACGGCUCUCUGGACCGUAACUGACGCUGAGACACGAAAGCGUGGGUAGCAAACAGG
rnacentral:rRNA from 1 species